rnacentral:rRNA from 1 species
GACGAACGCUGGCGGCGUGCUUAACACAUGCAAGUCGAACGGAAAGGCCCUUCGGGGUACUCGAGUGGGGAACGGGUGAGUAACACGUGGGUGAUCUGCCCUGCACUUUGGGAUAAGCCUGGGCAACUGGGUCUAAUACCGAAUAGUACCACGCGCGUCAUGGUGUGUGGUGGAAAGCUUUUGCGGUGUGGGAUGGGCCCGCGGCCUAGCAGCUUGUUGGUGGGGUAAUGGCCUACCAAGACGACGAAGGGUAGCCGGCCUGAGAGGGUGACCGGCCACACUGGGACUGAGAUACGGCCCAGACGCCUACGGGAGGCAGCAGUGGGGAAUAUUGCACAAUGGGCGCAAGCCUGAUGCAGCGACGCCGCGUGAGGGAUGACGGCCUUCGGGUUGUAAACCUCUUUCAAUAGGGACGAAGCGCAAGUGACGGUACCUAUAGAAGAAGCACCGGCCAACUACGUG